rnacentral:lncRNA from 12 species
GGAUGGAAUUCUGUUGCUAGGGGAACAUCCUAGUAGCUGGUUCUACUCCACAGGUGAAGGGCCCAGACAGCUAUCCAAUGGUGUCCUAACUGGACAGGAUGAAUGUCAGGAGUGCAGAAACACACAGAGACUCAGCGGAAGAAACUUGGCUCUUCCUCUGAGGAGCCCUAUGAAUAUCAGCAGCCAUUUUCCAUCAUUUGUGAGCCACAUGGACUAUUACUAGCUUUGACUACAUUUGCAGGGCUGUUCAUGUGAACCCCAUCGGAAGUACAGUAGGAAGGACAUGGAAAGGGAACUCUGUAGCCAUGAUGUAUCAUUUCAACCUGCUGAAACUAAUGUACCACCUUUAGUUAGGUGGACAGGCCAUCUUAUUGAAAAGGAAUAUGAAAUUUUGUUCAAUAAACAGGCUGGAAUUUCAAGAUUCUCUCCAGCACUAUCUUUUCUCUAAAGUCGCCUCACA